GUUAAGCGACUAAGCGUACACGGUGGAUGCCCUGGCAGUCAGAGGCGAUGAAGGACGUGCUAAUCUGCGAUAAGCGUCGGUGAGGUGAUAUGAACCGUUAUAACCGGCGAUUUCCGAAUGGGGAAACCCAGUGUGUUUCGACACACUAUCAUUAACUGAAUCCAUAGGUUAAUGAGGCGAACCGGGGGAACUGAAACAUCUAAGUACCCCGAGGAAAAGAAAUCAACCGAGAUUCCCCCAGUAGCGGCGAGCGAACGGGGAGGAGCCCAGAGCCUGAAUCAGUGUGUGUGUUAGUGGAAGCGUCUGGAAAGGCGCGCGAUACAGGGUGACAGCCCCGUACACAAAAAUACACAUAUUGUGAGCUCGAUGAGUAGGGCGGGACACGUGGUAUCCUGUCUGAAUAUGGGGGGACCAUCCUCCAAGGCUAAAUACUCCUGACUGACCGAUAGUGAACCAGUACCGUGAGGGAAAGGCGAAAAGAACCCCGGCGAGGGGAGUGAAAAAGAACCUGAAACCGUGUACGUACAAGCAGUGGGAGCCUCUUUAUGGGGUGACUGCGUACCUUUUGUAUAAUGGGUCAGCGACUUAUAUUCUGUAGCAAGGUUAACCGAAUAGGGGAGCCGAAGGGAAACCGAGUCUUAACUGGGCGUUAAGUUGCAGGGUAUAGACCCGAAACCCGGUGAUCUAGCCAUGGGCAGGUUGAAGGUUGGGUAACACUAACUGGAGGACCGAACCGACUAAUGUUGAAAAAUUAGCGGAUGACUUGUGGCUGGGGGUGAAAGGCCAAUCAAACCGGGAGAUAGCUGGUUCUCCCCGAAAGCUAUUUAGGUAGCGCCUCGUGAAUUCAUCUCCGGGGGUAGAGCACUGUUUCGGCAAGGGGGUCAUCCCGACUUACCAACCCGAUGCAAACUGCGAAUACCGGAGAAUGUUAUCACGGGAGACACACGGCGGGUGCUAACGUCCGUCGUGAAGAGGGAAACAACCCAGACCGCCAGCUAAGGUCCCAAAGUCAUGGUUAAGUGGGAAACGAUGUGGGAAGGCCCAGACAGCCAGGAUGUUGGCUUAGAAGCAGCCAUCAUUUAAAGAAAGCGUAAUAGCUCACUGGUCGAGUCGGCCUGCGCGGAAGAUGUAACGGGGCUAAACCAUGCACCGAAGCUGCGGCAGCGACACUAUGUGUUGUUGGGUAGGGGAGCGUUCUGUAAGCCUGUGAAGGUGGCCUGUGAGGGUUGCUGGAGGUAUCAGAAGUGCGAAUGCUGACAUAAGUAACGAUAAAGCGGGUGAAAAGCCCGCUCGCCGGAAGACCAAGGGUUCCUGUCCAACGUUAAUCGGGGCAGGGUGAGUCGACCCCUAAGGCGAGGCCGAAAGGCGUAGUCGAUGGGAAACAGGUUAAUAUUCCUGUACUUGGUGUUACUGCGAAGGGGGGACGGAGAAGGCUAUGUUGGCCGGGCGACGGUUGUCCCGGUUUAAGCGUGUAGGCUGGUUUUCCAGGCAAAUCCGGAAAACCAAGGCUGAGGCGUGAUGACGAGGCACUACGGUGCUGAAGCGACAAAUGCCCUGCUUCCAGGAAAAGCCUCUAAGCAUCAGGUAACAUCAAAUCGUACCCCAAACCGACACAGGUGGUCAGGUAGAGAAUACCAAGGCGCUUGAGAGAACUCGGGUGAAGGAACUAGGCAAAAUGGUGCCGUAACUUCGGGAGAAGGCACGCUGAUAUGUAGGUGAAGCGACUUGCUCGUGGAGCUGAAAUCAGUCGAAGAUACCAGCUGGCUGCAACUGUUUAUUAAAAACACAGCACUGUGCAAACACGAAAGUGGACGUAUACGGUGUGACGCCUGCCCGGUGCCGGAAGGUUAAUUGAUGGGGUUAGCGGUAACGCGAAGCUCUUGAUCGAAGCCCCGGUAAACGGCGGCCGUAACUAUAACGGUCCUAAGGUAGCGAAAUUCCUUGUCGGGUAAGUUCCGACCUGCACGAAUGGCGUAAUGAUGGCCAGGCUGUCUCCACCCGAGACUCAGUGAAAUUGAACUCGCUGUGAAGAUGCAGUGUACCCGCGGCAAGACGGAAAGACCCCGUGAACCUUUACUAUAGCUUGACACUGAACAUUGAGCCUUGAUGUGUAGGAUAGGUGGGAGGCUUUGAAGUGUGGACGCCAGUCUGCAUGGAGCCGACCUUGAAAUACCACCCUUUAAUGUUUGAUGUUCUAACGUUGGCCCGUAAUCCGGGUUGCGGACAGUGUCUGGUGGGUAGUUUGACUGGGGCGGUCUCCUCCUAAAGAGUAACGGAGGAGCACGAAGGUUGGCUAAUCCUGGUCGGACAUCAGGAGGUUAGUGCAAUGGCAUAAGCCAGCUUGACUGCGAGCGUGACGGCGCGAGCAGGUGCGAAAGCAGGUCAUAGUGAUCCGGUGGUUCUGAAUGGAAGGGCCAUCGCUCAACGGAUAAAAGGUACUCCGGGGAUAACAGGCUGAUACCGCCCAAGAGUUCAUAUCGACGGCGGUGUUUGGCACCUCGAUGUCGGCUCAUCACAUCCUGGGGCUGAAGUAGGUCCCAAGGGUAUGGCUGUUCGCCAUUUAAAGUGGUACGCGAGCUGGGUUUAGAACGUCGUGAGACAGUUCGGUCCCUAUCUGCCGUGGGCGCUGGAGAACUGAGGGGGGCUGCUCCUAGUACGAGAGGACCGGAGUGGACGCAUCACUGGUGUUCGGGUUGUCAUGCCAAUGGCACUGCCCGGUAGCUAAAUGCGGAAGAGAUAAGUGCUGAAAGCAUCUAAGCACGAAACUUGCCCCGAGAUGAGUUCUCCCUGACUCCUUGAGAGUCCUGAAGGAACGUUGAAGACGACGAC
rnacentral:rRNA from 1 species